GAUGAACGCUGGCGGCGUGCCUAAUACAUGCAAGUCGAGCGAACAGACGAGGAGCUUGCUCCUCUGACGUUAGCGGCGGACGGGUGAGUAACACGUGGAUAACCUACCUAUAAGACUGGGAUAACUUCGGGAAACCGGAGCUAAUACCGGAUAAUAUAUUGAACCGCAUGGUUCAAUAGUGAAAGACGGUUUUGCUGUCACUUAUAGAUGGAUCCGCGCCGCAUUAGCUAGUUGGUAAGGUAACGGCUUACCAAGGCAACGAUGCGUAGCCGACCUGAGAGGGUGAUCGGCCACACUGGAACUGAGACACGGUCCAGACUCCUACGGGAGGCAGCAGUAGGGAAUCUUCCGCAAUGGGCGAAGGCCUGACGGAGCAACGCCGCGUGAGUGAUGAAGGUCUUCGGAUCGUAAAACUCUGUUAUUAGGGAAGAACAAAUGUGUAAGUAACUAUGCACGUCUUGACGGUACCUAAUCAGAAAGCCACGGCUAACUGCGUG
rnacentral:rRNA from 1 species